rnacentral:misc_RNA from 1 species
GGCCGGGUCGGUGAUCGAGAUCACACCGGGCGGGAUCACCAUCAGCAUGGGCGGCUCGUCGGUCAAGGUCGAUGCGGCGGGGGUCUCGGUCGCGGGGCCCAAGAUCUCGCUGAACGGGUAACGACUCGAUGGCCCUCA